AAAGAAAAAGAAUUUGUAAGUAUCUCCCGAAUGUUAAAUCUGUUACAUGAAACAAACGUAUAAAGAGCUAUCGGUGUCAUCAAAUCAUCCAUUUGUUUUGAUAAUGUUAACCAUAUUUCUUCGUGUUUCGAUAUUAUUUUCCCAUUAUUUAAUAUAAUUUGAUUUUUAUAAUUUGUUAAAAGUUCAAUCACUUUACUCUUAUCUAGUUUAAUAGGUCUUCCGCGACGAAUAGGCAUGAUUAUUUAAUAUUUAUACUGCGUUAUCGAACACACGCUAUUCCCAUUUAUUAUAAAAUAAUUAUUUUUGCACUAAAUAAAAUGAAAUAGAAAAAAAAAUAGAAAUAAAACCAUAAAUAUAUGGUAAAUGCGAUAUCACUAUAUGCGACAAUAUGAAAUCACGAUACUUUCACGUUUGCAUUACAGCACCAAAUGAUUAUUUUAUGAAAAAUCUAAGCUGUUCAAUGCUACCUCUGAAUUUGAAAGAAGAGGGAAAGGGGAAAAAAGUUCCACGAAUUGAGUGGAAUAACCGACUAUUACAAAGUUUACUGUGUCGAGCCUCCUUCUUUUUAUCUACGGCUCACCUUUCCGGCCUAAAAUUUUUUGUAAUGUACGUCCGCGCGGCGGACAAUGCCGAUAGUGCGACGCUGCGACAAUAGAAGAGUAAAUACACGACAAAAAAUUCAAGACCUAGCUCGCCAAUAAGAUGCAUCCCGAAUUUCACUGCGUCGUCACAUUUUCGUUAGUCGUUCGCCAGCAGUGAGCAGAGACAGCACGAUUGCAGAAAAACAGACUUAAAGAAUGGAAGUAGAAAAAUAAAAUAAAAAAAUUAAAAGAAGUCAAUUAUGGAGAUCGCGGCAGAAAAGUAAAUGUAGACGGCGAAAAAAACUACAAAAUUUACUUUCAGCUUCUAAAGAAGCUCAGGGAGAGCAGUCAAAAGAAGUGCAGCAAAAGAUCAACCGCAACAAGAAGACCAGACACAAAAACAACCGCAAAUACAAAAACAACCGCAAAACAAAAAUUAUUUUCAAGAACAAUUACAAAAAUGGCAACAGCAGCGAACAGAACAGCAACAACCUCAACAGCCAACCAAUGAAAUCCCAAACAUACAACAGAUGUGGCAACAGUUGCAACAGUUGCAACAGCUGUAUAUGGAAAACAAUAAUAUGACAAAUAUAAGGACUGGAAUAGAAACACUAAACAUCAACAAUCAAAAUAGAGGACGAGGACUAUGGCGAGGACAAAGACGAGGACGAGGACGAGCACGAGAACGAGGACGAGGACAUGGACGUGGACGUGGACGUGGAUAUAUAGGAAACACAUAUAUACACAGAGGAAAUGUGUAUAACAUUUAUAAUACACCUACUUAACACCAUUAUAUUUAAAUACAUAACAUAUUUUUAAAAAUACAUUCUUGUAACAAAAUUUGUAUGUUUUUUAAAUAACUACACAUGAACCUUCUUACUUAAUAUAAUACAUGUACUUAGCAUUUUAAGAAAAACAACUAUAAAAGCUGAAACAAUUGUACGAGUUGAGGAAGGAUCAGAUAGAGUGUGAAAAGAAAAGAAUAGAAGCGAUAAAUAAACUCUCACUGUGCUAUUGAAAAAAGUAACAACAUAGAAAGUCGAAAAGCAGCUGCUAUUGAAGAAAACAACAAAAUAGAAAAACGAAAAAUAAUUGCUCUUAAAGAAUAUAAUAAUGUACAAAAAGAAAGAAAUAAUUUAUUCGCAAAUUUAAUAGAGUCACAGACAAAAAACAC